rnacentral:sRNA from 1 species
CGUCUGCGCUCAGAUCAAGACUCCAGUUACCUCAAAGCUCCCCAACUUCCACCUCCGCAGAGCUAUUACGUCAUGGCAGGCACGCCAGAGACCGAAGGAUGCAAAAGUGGUUUUCUGCUUUCGAUGAUGCAAUCAUUCAGCGACAGUGGCGGGCAAACCCCUCCCGGGGCGGGGGAGGUGUGAGCUUCACGAAGGAGGUUGACACCAACGUGGCCACCGGCGCCCCUCCACGCCGCCAACGAGUCCCCGGGCGUGCGUGCCCUUGGAGGGAGCCAAUCCGCGGCCGGCGUGGGGCCCGGCCUGGCGGAGGUGAUGCUGGUAUCUGCGUCGCCACCGCCCCUCCCAGCACUGACGGGCCUGAGGGAUGACAAGUUGACGCCCCUUUCGUCAUCACCUGGUCUAGGAGGGACGCCCGGGGAGACCGUACGUCACUGCUCUGCGCCGGAAGACCCUAUUUUCAGGUUCUCUUCCCUCCAUUCCUACCCCUUCCCCGGUACCAUAAAAUCCUGGGAUAUGAGCCGGAAGAGGCAUCACCUGAUCCCGGAGACCUUUGGAGUUAAGAGGCGGCGGAAGCGAGGGCCUGUGGAGUCGGAUCCUCUUCGGGGUGAGCCAGGGUCGGCGCGCGCGGCUGUCUCAGAACUCAUGCAGCUGUUCCCGCGAGGCCUGUUUGAGGACGCGCUGCCGCCCAUCGUGCUGAGGAGCCAGGUGUACAGCCUUGUGCCUGACAGGACCGUGGCCGACCGGCAGCUGAAGGAGCUUCAAGAGCAGGGGGAGAUCAGAAUCGUCCAGCUGGGCUUCGACUUGGAUGCCCAUGGAAUUAUCUUCACUGAGGACUACAGGACCAGAGUAUGUGACUGUGUCCUCAAGGCCUGUGAUGGCCGACCGUAUGCUGGGGCAGUGCAGAAAUUUCUAGCUUCAGUACUUCCAGCCUGUGGGGACCUUAGUUUCCAGCAGGACCAAAUGACACAGACCUUUGGCUUCAGGGACUCAGAAAUCACGCAUCUGGUGAAUGCUGGAGUCCUCACCGUCCGAGAUGCUGGGAGCUGGUGGCUAGCUGUGCCUGGAGCUGGGAGAUUCAUCAAGUACUUUGUUAAAGGGCGCCAGGCUGUCCUUAGCAUGGUCCGGAAGGCAAAGUACCGGGAGCUGCUCCUAUCAGAGCUCCUGGGCCGGCGGGCGCCUGUCGUGGUGCGGCUUGGCCUCACCUACCAUGUGCACGACCUCAUUGGGGCCCAGCUAGUGGACUGCAUCUCUACCACUUCAGGAACCCUCCUCCGCCUGCCAGAGACAUGAAGAUUCUGCUCAUUAUUGCUCAGCUCCUCAGAGUGGGCCGGGAGGGGACUAGAAGAGCUGCAUGAUGGUGGCUGAGACAGGGUCACCUUGGGAAGGCUUGGGAGCCAGGAUGAGU